UACGGAGGGAGCUAGCGUUGUUCGGAAUUACUGGGCGUAAAGCGCACGUAGGCGGUUACUUAAGUCAGGGGUGAAAUCCCGGGGCUCAACCCCGGAACUGCCCUUGAAACUGGGCAACUAGAAUCUUGGAGAGGUCAGUGGAAUUCCGAGUGUAGAGGUGAAAUUCGUAGAUAUUCGGAAGAACACCCGUGGCGAAGGCGGCUUUCUGGGACGGUACUGACGCUGAGACGCGAAAGCGUGGGGAGCGAACAGG
rnacentral:rRNA from 1 species